UUUAUCAUCUGACUUCAUCCCAUGAGAUUUUUCUCUAAGAAUUUUUAGCUUAGGAUGAUUCACAAUCAUCCUUAGAUGAUUGUGACCGGAAGCUUUAAAGUAUCUUUGGAGGAUUUUCCUCCGAAGUUUUUUAUCCUAGGACGAUUUGUUUCUAUCUACGGAUGAUUGUGUUUAGAAGAUUUAAAGUUAUCUCAAGAGGAUUUUCUUCCAAAGAUUUUCAUACUUAGAAAGAUUUGUUUCUGUCCCUGGCUGACUAUGUUUGGAAGAUUUAAAGCAAUCUUAGGAGGAUUUUCUCCAAAGAUUUUCAUCCUAAGAUGAUUUGUUUCCAUCCUUAGAUGAUUAAAUUUGGAAGAUUUAAAGAUUAAAGCUUUAAAAUUUUGAAUUUUGGAAGUCUUUUCCAGAAAUUUCUAUUUAUAUCUAUUCCAUCAUUACUUGCCUUGAAAAUUGAUUUUUUUAAUUGGCUUAGAUUAUUUGCCUUCGUUAAUUAAGAUUUUACACCAAUAAUUACAUUAAUUGUAAAUCUUCUUUAAUUGGCUAAGAUCCUCUUCUUCUCCUAUAUAAUCCUCUUAGUUCGCAAUUAAGACUUUUGAAGAGAGAAACCGUAGCUUUGAGAGAGAGAAGCUCUCAAAUUUCCGAAGAGAGAGGGUGGUGAUUUGCAAUAUUUGACAACGGCACUCAGGGUGGCUAUUGACGAUUUUUCGAUGAUUUUUCAAUAGAUUUUGGUGACUUAUUUUGGCAAAUUUUAGGCAAUUUUCAAUGAGUUUUUUUAUUUACAUAUUUUAUUUAUUUUCUUAAAAUUUUUAUUUUACAUAUUUAAUAUAAUAAUGAUAGGUCUUUGGGACUUGGUUGAUUUGUCCUAGUUCAAGAAGAACUAGUGUUGAAGUAACCAAGCAUAAAAAUAUAAUGAUGGAUGAAUUUCAUUCGAUAACUAUUCACAUUGCUAUAAAUGAUGUUGCUAGUUGUGUGUUGAAAGAGGAGAUAUAUGAUGAUAGUAGCAUAUAUGCAGAUAAAGUAAUUAGAAGAAGUGAGAUUAUUGACUUAGGAAAUUAUGAGGAUGAGGAUGAGCUUGUGGUUAAAGAUCCCUAUUCAUGGCAGAUAAAGACGAUUAAAUGUGGAUUAAGCCAAAUGUACCUUGGGAUUUUAAUGAUAAGGUAUCAUAUUCCUAGGUCAAUCAUACUUUAUAGUGCUUGACUUAGGAAGAGUAUUACCAAUUCUCCUAAUGACUUUAUUGGGAUUACUAGUACGACUUCUAUUUCACCUUUAUAUUUAGAGGAUAUUACAUGCCAUAUGAUUUGCCCUCGCUCAGCGUACUUCUAAAGCUUAGCGUUGUAAGCUAAACAAUGGUAAGUCCUAUGGCAAGUAAUAUCCUCCUAAAGGGUGAAAUGGAAGCCGAACUCAAGAAUUUAACAUAUACUUAGUAAACCCAACAAACCCAUUAGGAGGAUUGUUGUUCCUCCUGAGUGAAGCAUGAUGAAGAGUGAUUGACCUAUGAAUGUUAUACCCAAUCAUCAAAAUCUCAAGAGACAUUUGGCCUAAUCCACAUUUAAUCGUUUUUAUCUGUCAUAGACAUGUAUCUUCAACUACAAGCUCAGCCUCAUCCUCAUAAUUUCCUAAGGCAAUAACAUCAAUUCUUCCUUUUACUUCAUCUGCAUAUGCACUAUUAUCUUCAACUAUCUCCUCUUAAAACUUACAAUUACCGAAAUUGCUUAUAGUAGCAUGAGUAGUUGUCUAAUGAACAUCAUCUAUCUCUAUAUUCUUAUCCUUGGCCAUUUUAACACUUGGUAAUCUUGAACUAAGCCAACCUACAAAGUGACAAAGACCUACAAAUACUCUCUUAAUUAUUUAAAAUUAAAAAUAAAUAAACAUAAAUAAAAAAUCACCAAAAAACUACCAGCGAAAUGCCGAAAAGUCAUCGAAAAAUUGUCACCAACCACGGUGAAUACCUUUGUCAAACAACAUGAACCACCACCUCUCUCUUUGGAAACUUGAGAGCUUCUUUUGCUAAAACAUAUGCUCUCUCUUGAAAAAUCUUAACUGAGAAAGAAUGGAAAAUGAGGAUUAUAUAAGAGAGGAAGAGAAUCUUAGUCAAUUAAAGAGGAUCUUAAAUAAAGAUAAUAAUUGGUGGAAAAUCUCAAUUACUAAAGGCAAAUAAUCCAAGCCAAUCAAAGAAGAUCAAUUUUGAAGGCAAAUAAUGAUGGAAUAGAUAUGAAUAAAAAGUUCUAGAAUAAACUUUCAAAAUUAUAAAUUUAAAAGCUUAAAUUUUAAAUCUUCCAAACACAAUUAUCCAAGGAUAGAAACAAAUCUUCCUAAGAUGAAAAUCUUUGGAGAAAAUCCUCUUAAAAUAGCUUUAAAUCUAUUAUCUAGGGAUGGAAUUAAAUUGUCCUACGAUAAAAAUCUUUAAAGGAAAGUUUUCCUGAAAUUGCUUUAAAUCUUCCAAGGAUAGAAGCAAAUCAUUAUAAGAAAAAAGGCCCUUGGAAAAAGUCCUCCUAGGAUAAAUAUCCUCGGAGAAAAAUCAACCUAGAAUACAAUCCCAGGAGAAAAAUCAAUAGAGAAAAUUUGUAAUACCUCAAUUCUCUUAAGGAUAUUUAAGUCUUUUUAGUUUAUUUUAGUGAUCUUUUUACCCUAGUAUAAAAAAAGUAAUAUGUCUUUCCCAUUAUAAGAGAGAGGGAGAGAGAAGUCGGCUGAGGAAAAGAAAAAGACAGAAAGGAAAAAAAAAAAGACAGAGGGUGAUGGAGAGAAAAGAGAGAAAAUAAAAGAAGAAGAAGAAGAAGAAAGUCUUCAUCUUAGUUCUGCCGUGAACAACACAUGAGAUCAAGUUGCGUCUUUUGAAUUGGAUAUUGUUGAGAGAAGAUUUGGAGGUAUGUUUUAAUUCUUAGUUUUCAUUAAUUUGUUAUGGAGAAGCAUGACUAAAUAUUUGCAAUAGAAGUAGAAACUUAAGAUUUUACAGGAAAUAUGCUGACAGUGCAUUAUUACGAAAAUCAUAACAAUUUGUACAAAUUGAUUUUUAUUAUGAUUUUUAGAUAUGUUAAACUAUACAUUGUCUAGAAUGUUUCGAAACUUGUUUUCAAAUCAUAUGCUGACAUAUUGAAAAUUCAUUGAUAAAAGUUUCAUAUUAGUAAAGUUUCAUAACUAUUGAAAUCAAUUUAUGUUUCAGGCAUCAUCAAUACUGUCAAGCAGUUUUUUAUUUUAAACAUGCUUGUUUUAAAAUUACAAAACAAUUUAUUGUUUUAUUAUAAAAUCAUGACAAUUUGUAGAAUCAUACUAUACAUUUAUAAAAAUCACUGGUCCAAAUGUCAUAAUUUUUGAAGAAGUCUAGUUAUGGUAAAAAAAAAUCUCGUAAUUCAUGUUCUUCACUGAAAUCAGAACUUUCUAGAUUUUUAGACUUGAGUUUGAAAAAUUGUAAUUAAUUGAACUCGUAUUCAAUUAGCUUGAAACAAGUUUCAAAACAUUUUAGACGAUGUAUAGUUUAACAUAUCCAAAAAUCAAAAUCAAAAUCAAUUUGUACAAAUUACUAUGAUUUUCCAAUAAUGCACUUUCAUCAUAUUUCCUGUAAAAUCUUAGGUUUUUACUUCUGUUGCAAAUAUCUAAUCAUGCUUAUCUAUAACAAAUUAAUGAAAACCAAAAAUAAAACAUACCUUCAAAUCUUCUCUCAACAAUAUCCAACUCAAAAGAUGCAACUUGAUCUCAUGUGUUGCUUACGACAGGACCAAGAAGAAGACUUUCUUCUUUUUCUUCUUCUCUUCUUUUCUUUUCUCUCUUUUCUUUUCCUUUCUAUCGUUUUUUUUCCUCAGCCGAACUGUCUCUUCCUCUCUCUUAUAAUGGGAAAGCCAUAUUAUUCUUUUUAUAAUAAGGUAAAAAGAUCACUAAAAUAAACUAAAAAGACUUAAAUACUGUUAGGAGAAUUGGGGUAUUACAAAAAUAUUCCUAGGAUAAAAUUCAUGGAUAAAAAAUCUUAGGUUAAAAUCCAACGAUAAAAAAUUUUAGAGAAAAUACUAGAGAUGGAAUCAUCCUCAUAAAAUAAACCUUCUAAUUAAAAACCCUAAGAUAAAAUCCUUAAAAGAAAAAGUCUCAAUGUGUUACUUUAAAAGUUUGGGACUUAGGGAGGAAACUAAUGAACUAAAACUAGAAUGCACCCAAUUAGAGCUUAAAUAAACAUGGUCCUAGAAAAGCCCAAGAAGAGAUUGAAAAAAACCCUUAAGAAACACAUCCUAAAUUCCUUGGUGGUUAGUUUCUUAGGUUCUAUGAUCUUUGGAUCCCAGGAUAGAUCACUUAGGAUUAGAGAUGGCCAGGUGACACAUUGCAUGGCACGAGCACAUUAUAUGUUUGUACAACAUGGUACGGCAAGCACAUGGGCUGGCCUAGGCUAAGAAUUUUAAGUACAUGGGUCUUAAAAGCACAGUAUGAUUAGAAAUGCUCUAAAGCACGACAUGUGAAAAUGUUCACAAUAAGUAAGUUUCAUUGGUGGGCUAGCAAGCAGCCUGUGAGCCGUCAAUAGUACCUCAGAUAAAGUAUAUUAGUAAAAUUUUUUAACGAAAAGUAAAUAUAAAUG
rnacentral:lncRNA from 1 species